UCAUGUACCCGGAAAUAGCUUGUGAGGAAAGUUACUAUCAUUAUCUCUAAAAGGCAAAGCCUGUUCGGUGAGUAAGAGCUGACAGGCACAUAAAACCUGGUCAUCUGUGAUACCCACUAAUCAGUGCCCCCCAGCACACACACUGACUCAUGCAGGUCGUCUGCAGAAUAUGAUACAUUGUAUGGUGCAACGUUCUUAUCUUCCUGGCCAUGUGGUGAAGGGGCGGGGAGAGUAUGAUAAUGACCUGGGUGACGUCACCGUCUGGGAGCAGCUCGCUAGAUCGAAACCAGAAAGCUGCUGGAACUGAGAUACUGAGAACACCGAGACAAGGGAUAGUGCUGGUCAGAGACAUCUAGGAGAGCAGCUGGAACCGAGAGGAUGUUGUGCCAGGUGUAUGUACUUCUCUGUGGGCUAUGUGUAGAACCUAGUGAUGACGUUUAGAUUGAGAAGGGGACAGAGGACAGAGCCUUGCGGUACUCCGACAGAAAGUGGUGACGGGGCAUAGGAGGCCCCAGAGAAGGCUACACUAAAGGUAUGGUUUGACAGGUAGGAAGAGAGCCAUGAGAGGGCUGUGUCACAGAUGCCGAAGGAUUGGAGGGUUUGGAGCAAAAGAGGGUGGUCAACAGUGUCAAAGGCUGCGGACAGAUCAAGGAGGAUAAGCAGAGAGAAGUGGCCUUUUGAUUUGCUGUAAGUAGGUCGUUGGUAACCUUAAAGGGACAGUUUACUCAAAAAUGUACUCCCCUUUAAUUUGUUCCCAAUGAUCCACUUUACCUGCUGGAGUGUAUUAAAUUGUUUACAAGUAGCUCCUUUACCCUUAUAUUGGCAUUUGAAAUUGUUAAUUUAGCAUGUGGUAUCCCCACCUAUUCUGAAAGUUUGUGGCCGCGCGUACCAGCUAUAGAUAAGCAUUGUAAACACAGCCAGCAGAAGAAAUUACACUCCCAGUCGGAUAUAACAGAGAUGAGGUAAUACAAUGUUGAUUUUCCAUUGUUCUCUCAAAGUACUGGUGAUUGUUUUAAGGACAGAUAUAAGAUA